rnacentral:rRNA from 1 species
GACGAACGCUGGCGGCGUGCCUAAUACAUGCAAGUCGAACGCAGUGGGGACGGGUGCGUAACACCUGGGUAACCUCCCAUCCGAGUGGAUAACCCUUGGAAACAGGUGCUAAACCGCUACUGAUGGAUGGACCCGCGGUGCAUUAGCUAGUUGGUGAGGUAACGGCUCACCUAGGCCACGAUGCAUAGCCGACCUGGGAGGGGGAUCGGCCAAACUGGGACUGAGACACGGUCCAGACUCCUACGGGAGGCAGCAGUGGGGAAGCUUCGGCAAUGGACGAAAGUCUGACCGAGCAACGCCGCGUGAGUGAAGAAGGUUUUCGGAUCGUAAAACUCUGUUGUUAGAGAAGCGGUAUCUAAACAGAAAGCCACGGCUAACUACGUGCCAGCAGCCGCGGUAAUAC